rnacentral:lncRNA from 1 species
GGACUCCUCAGCUCUUCUCACAAUGAGGCUCCCUGCUCAGCUCCUGGGGCUGCUAAUGCUCUGGGUCCCUGGAUCCAGUGGGGAUAUUGUGAUGACCCAGACACCACUCUUCCUGUCUGUCACUCCUGGAGAGCAGGCCUCCAUCUCCUGCAGGUCUAGUCAGAGCCUCCUGCAUAGUGAUGGAAACACCUACUUGAAUUGGAUUUUGCAGAAGCCAGGUCAACCUCCAAGGCGCCUAAUUUAUAAGGGCACAACCUCCUGACCUGAAGACUUACUAGUAUGUUAGUCACACCCUGUGCAGGAGUCAGUCCCAGACAGGACACAGCAUGGACAUGAGGACCCCUUCUCUCCUGGGGCUCCUGCUGCUCUGGCUCCCAGGUGAGAAAGGAGAAUGCUAGGAAUUUACUAAACAAGUGUGCUCAGUAUUGACUGGCCAUUCAGGGAAAUCAUCUUAUAAAUAAUUGUGUGAAUAUUUGUUUCUAUGUUUGUAGUCCCAGGAGUUAAAUGUGACAUCCAGAUGACCCAGUCUCCAUCCUCCCUGACUGCAUCUGUAGGAGACAGAGUCACCAUCUCUUGCUGGGUGAGUCAGGGCAUUAGCAUCAUUUAAGCCAGUAUCAGCAGAAACUAGGGAAUCCUCCUAAGGUCCUGAUCUAUGCUUCAUCCAGUUUGCAAUCUUGGUCCCAUCACAGUUCAUUGGCAGUGGGUCUGGGACACACUUUGCUUUCACCAUCAGCAGGCUGCAACUUGAAAAUGUUAUAACUUAUUCCUGUCUACAGACUUGCAGUAGCCCUCCUACAGUGUUACAAAUGGUAAAGUAAAUCCCCAGGGAGGCAGAAUUGUGAGGCAUGGCUGCUCCAGGUGCUUCCACUGGUGCGUCCACCUGCUGAGAAUGUUUCUCAGGUGCAGGCAAGGUUUAAAGGUUUUGUAGAAAUGGCCAGAAGUCUCCUCUGCAUUCUAACACUCUUUCUUCCCUUUCAGCCCCAGCAGCAUAGACAUGACACUAUCUCUCCUGAUUUAAUAAGGGAUAGCAAUUAUGAUACCCAAAGAUCCUGUGUUAUUGCAUCCAUCUGGGUCAUAGAUCAAACAAGAAACCACUCUACAGAUUGCAAGAAGACAUUGUUUUAAUACAGGGAAUUAGAGAUACAAAAAUGGGGAUAUGGUAGUAAGGGAAGCUGAUACUAGAAACGGAAAUCUCUGGAGGUCUGCCAGAAGCCAGAAUUCAUUGGCCCCUAAAGUCAUGGGCUGUCUAACCAUGUGGUCUUCUUUGUCUAGGAAGUCCAGAUGUCAAGAUGCUGAUGCUAUCGCUUGGUGCAGCACCUCACCACGUGAUUCUCCAGCCCUCAUCUAAGUGAACAUGUUUGCCUACAAUUGUCAAAGAAUAUUGAAUAACCUUCUUCUUACCUUUAAAUAUGAUGAGAAGGCUUCUCUUUGAGUAACUCUACAAGAAACUAUAGAGGGUUAAAUGGGUUUUGGGAAAGGUGCUUUUAGAAAUCAUGAUGAAUAUGAGGAAUUAGAAGGUGACAGCCAAGUAGGAGAAGUAUUUCCCCAAAUCUCACAAUUUUCCAGAUAUGAAGUGACUUCAGGAUAUGUUUGAAUGUGUUUACACAUAUUAUUAGAAAGUCUGGUAUUAUUGCUGAAAACUUUAUUAAGUCAUAAAGUAAAAGGAAAAAAUGAUAAAAUUGCUUAGAAUAUAUAGCAAUCAUUUGACAGAUGAAAAAAAAAACCUUUUUUGACAAAACAAAUAAAAACACCUAUAGGUGCAUGUAGUAUACUUUUCCCUUAGUAUAAAAGCACAUUGCUACUUAAAGUUUGUCCAGAUUCCAGUGGCAUUCUCAGCGUCACCAUGAACACAUUAGAAAUGCAAAGUAGCAGAUGUACCUUAGACAUUAUUGCAUGAUAACUGCACUUCAACAGGUGAGAGGUAAUGUUUGAGUGUUUUAAGAAGCCAAGUUUUAGAAGACAUUUACUUUAGCUAAAGAGUUUUUUUUUCCUACAGUGAGACCAUUUAUGUUAAAACAAGUUAAAAAUAUAUACUGCCUUAUGUCUAACUAAUGCAAAAUUACAUUAGAAAAUAUUUGUAAUAUUCUAAAAGUUGAAAAACAUAAUUUUUUAUCAAUGGAUCAAAUACUUUGAUAGUUAAAUGCAGUAAAUGUUUUAGAAACUUUAGGAAUUAACACAGUGACAUGAUAAAUUAAAACUGUGUUCACUGUAUUAUGAAAGAUUGGGUUAACAUUUGCCUGGUAAGUUUUGUUUGAAAAUUGUAUUUCUUUUUGCUGCCUGACAUACAAAUGUUGUGCCUUGGCUAGGCCCCUCCUUGAUCCCAAAUGAAACACAACCUAAAGGCUGGAGAAUCACCCUGCUAAGCCCUUCCUUAAUCAGCCAUAUCAUUGUUAUCAUGAACAUCUAUGAACAAUAAAAUGCCUGCUUAGUUUUAUUAUCCACUGAGUUUUGAGCAGUAGAUAAGUACACUUUUCUGUAAGUGCACUUUUUCUAUAAGUGAGGUGAAUUUCCCUUUUUAAUGUAUAUUGUUUAGUUUUAAUUCCUUCUCCGUGUCUUUAUAAAUGGAUGAAUAAGCAUUUAUAUUUAUGCCAUCAGAUUUGAUAACAUAUAUCAACCUAUAUGACUGGAUGUAUGAAUAUUAUAUUGGUCAGCUUUCACCCAUGGGCAGGUCAGAAAAGGCUGUUAGCUCAGCCUGAGUGUAGAAUUUCUAUCUUAUAAUUUUAUCUAUAAUAUAUAAUAUAAUUAUUAUAAUAUUAUCUAUCUUAUAAUUUCUAUCACAAAAUUAUAUCCCUGUGUCCUUCUGUCUCACCAAUUACCUAGAUUCCGUGAAUGGUGUAUGGCACAAAACUUGUAGAAACAAAAUUAAGAUGUGUGUGGUCCCAUUUCUUUUGUUUCUACCCUAAAUAUAUGGUUGGAAUGAAGAGUUAAUUGGAUUUUUAUCUCCCAAGUACAUCUUUCACUUGUUGCUUAGGGAUCUUUUCCAAGGGUCCUGAAGCUUCCUCAAAGAGCAAUACUCAAGUAACCCCAGUGCUACAGGUGCAAGAAUGACCACAACUGCACAGAGGAGCAGCACCCAGUUUCUGACCCUUCAGGUUACCAAUACCAUUUCUGGGAAGACAGACAAUGAUGCUGUCCAUGCAGGCAGAGACAAUUCCUUGAGUGAUCCUCUAUACACCACUUGAUUCUGUACAUUGCUUACAUCAACCCAGAGUCAGGUCCUCUUCUUCUUAAUAGUUCUGAGAACCUCUGUUUACACCCCUAAAUCUCAUUUCAUAUAGAGCUGCUCCUUUUCUUUAAUCAGUUAAAAUGUUUUGCAUUUUCAUCCUUUCUCUAGGUAUCAAGGAAGCAGUUUUAUUAAUGCUACUCUAAGUUCCAAUUGGAUCUUCAUUCAUUCUGGAAUUAGAGACACCAAUAUUUAUCUAAGUGUCAAGAUGUUAUCUUCGCAGUCCCGAAAAUCAAACCCAUUGUGUUGGAGACAGAGCUUUAAUGCUUACAGAUUAUGUGACAUUAGUAAAGUUGCUUAUAUGAAACUUUGGCAAUAAUAGAAUCUAUCCAAAAGGUCUCUUUACAAUUUACACAAGGUAAAGCAUUUAGAACAGUCUCUUAUCAUUAUAUAUGCUGGUAUUAAUUUUGUUAUUACUAUUA